GGGCGAGACGAAAUUGUUUCUAACCUAAGAAAUCAUUGUUCUUUCAUAACUAUUAUACAUAAAAAAAAAUAAUGACAAAACUAAAUAAAAUUCUUGAGUGCAGAAAAAUAGAAGUAUAUAUUUAUAGACAUUAUAAUCAGAAAUACUGCAAUAUGUGUUUAAUUUUUUAAAAAUGAUAUCAAAACAAUUUGUUUUCUUUAACAUUGUGUUUUGUUUACAUCUGUCUGCUACUAGUGAUAUCUAGGGAAUUUUUAAUUUCUGGUUUAACAGCAAGUCAGCUGACAUUUGACAGUUUUCCGACUAUAAACAGUUUAUUAUAAACACUUAUUGAAAUAAAAUACUGUAAUACGACUUAUUAAUUUAUAUUAAAAACUAAAUUGGAAAUUUGAAAUUGAAAAUAUUCGAUCCCUUGUUAUAUACAGAUAUAAAUUUCGAGAGAUCUAUGAAGCUUUGGUAUAUAUAUACAUUCCAUCUAAUUUUAUGUCAGUCAAUUUACGACAUAGCGGAAGUACAGUGAAGACCACAAACACAAAUAAACCGGAAGCAGUUUCGAGAGGAUAGUAUACGCUGCUCAAAAUAAUUAUUCUGCGGUUUCCGAACAAAAGGAUUCAAAGAAAUUUUAAAAAUAAUUUUUCAGUGAAAAUAUCGAGUGAAGUAUAUUAUAUAAAACGAUUCAAAAACAAUAAAAUAAAUAAUUCUUAUCUUUUGAAGGAAUUCAAUUACAAUUCCAGAAGAAAGUAAAUUAGAGAAAUAUUUGUAGAGAAACAAGAAUUUCUAUUAGCAUUCGAAUAUAUAUAACUACAGUGAGAUAAACAAGUUGAAAUAAAAUGGAGUCAGGACGUUAUUGAAUAAGGAACAUUUUCUGCUCGAUGUAUAUAUAAAAGGGUGGCAACCUCGUUUGAUAUUUAAUGAAAAGUGCUUAUUCCCUAUUGUGAGCAUCUCUUUUCAUCUCUCGCACUAUCAGUUAACAUUCUCCCAAGACAAGUCCGGGGCUAUUUUAAAAAUCCCUAGAGUGAAAUUGCUUUUCGCCGGUCGUCGUCGGGUCCUGGACGUCGUUGUCCUUGUCUAGAAAUUGUUAGAAAGGGGUAAGUAACCUCGACAGGAAAUGCAUUGCGCUAUUGCAGCCAGCAGACCGACACUUUAACGCGCCUUUCAAUUACCCUACAUAAAAUUUAAAGUCUCUCUUUCAUAUACAGUGAUUUAAUUAAAGCAAACCCCCUGUGUGUGAAAAAAAAGAAGAAGGAAAACUGAAAAAUAAGAAUGAGAUUUUUUUCAUGUUAUGCUUUUUUUUCAAAUUCCAGUCACAAUCAUGAGUCCGCAGAAUUUCACAAAUUAAAUUCUUUUAUAUAUACCAUUUCUCAGGAAGGAAUUUCAAAAAUUUACUGCAACAUUUUUCACGAGAUAUAUAAAGAAGAAAUUGAAAACAAAUUUUCAUGAAAAAAGGAUCUAAAAAGUGAGGAAUUAGAUGAGAUUAAUUAAAUUAUGAGAUAUGAUGGUUCUCGUUUUUGGAAAAAAAAAAAAAAACCUUUUCUCGUAAAUUCACACCAACGACCACUAUGUCUCCUACGUGCAGUGAAUUUUAUAAGCUAAGACUACGAUAAUGUGGCAUGCUCAAGGAUCUAAAAUCGCACCAGGGAGCUAAGAUUUUUCUUCUAUAUACCUUUCUGAAUACCGAGACAUAUAUGAAAAGCUUUUUCCGCACCUUAACGACAGAGGGAAAACGAAAAAGCCCAUAUUGCAACAUUUUCCAUCACGUUAUAAAAUACAUACACUGAAAAAAAUUUAUUUAAUUCAAAUAAUCGACUUUUAAUUUCUUUGUCUCUAGAAUUUUUUUAUAUUUAAAUUGUUUAUAAAAAAAUAUAACUAAAAAAAAUUUUUUUUUUAAUUAUAUUUUGCUACCAAAAAAAAAAUUGAUUUUUCACCUUUUCUUUAGUAGAAAACUUUAGAAAUAUAGAAGUUAGAUUUUUGUGAAAUUCACUAGAGAUAGAAAGCGCGAGGAUUUACCCUCUCGUGCCUAAAGCUGAAAACGGGGCUUAACUCCGGUGCAUCGUUCGAUCAUACACUCCAAUACACAGAAAGUGGUAUUUACUCUCCGUCCCUUGCUCUUUCAAGUACCUCUUUCUCUUCUAUUUUCCAAGUGAUAUGUUUAAAAUCUCCAAAAAAAACUUCUGUUCUGAUUUUGAGGAGAUGCAAGAGACGAUGCUUCUUAUACGGUUGAUAAAUUUUAUCACCUUCCUGAUGCGGUGUAUAAAACACGAUCGUUCAAAUUAACCUAUUAAAUUUACAUAUAGCAGAAAAGUUUUUUCUUCUACAAAGUUAUAUAAAACGUAACUUUUUAAAGUUUUUGAAAAAUGAAACGAAAAAUACAUAAAAUUUUGUCAUAAGGUGGGUAUUUUUAAAUUUAAAUAAUUUAAAUAAAAAUUAUUUAAAGUAUAAAUAUUUAUUUGAUAAUAGUCGAUUAUUUGAAUAAUAAAUUUAUUUUUCACUAUAAUUUUUUAUGAGACAGUGAACAGAAUUUUUGUAUUUUUUUAAUUUCCACAGAAUUCUCAAAAUUUUAUCGUAUAGAUAUAAAUUUUAUUAAAAUUGUAAAAAGAGAUUUAUUAUUGAUAAAAAAACAGAUAGUGAGUUAAAAGAAUAUAAAGGUACAAUAGUCCAUUUGAGGAGGAGGAGGAGGUAUCAAUUGACCUAAUUCUAAGUUCGCAACAAAUCAGCACUGACCCCGCUGGUCUACCGUCCAUUAUCUAAUUUAACUAUUUAGAGGUGUGCGCAAUGUUCCUUUUGAACAUUUUAACUCAAAGGUUAUAUAAUAGUAUAGAUUAAAAGUUCUCUCUCCUUUUAUUUUGAGUGCUGAUUAAUUACCCUCUUUAAGUAUAUAUAUUUCUCUCUUCUCUCCGCAAAAAAGAAUUUUCUCUCUCGACCUGCCCAGACUGACCAUCCUUUUGGAGGCCCUUCCCCAGAGAUGGUCAUUGCUCUUUUUAACUCUCUUAUAUCAUUGUCACGUAAAAAGGAAAAACUGCACCGGUCGCGUCACAAAUCACAAAGACUUUUCUCAUCUAAUCCCGAGUAACCAGACUUUUACAGAGGUUCCAGAGUACCAAAAAAAAAAAAAAAAUGCUCGCACGCUUCUCAAGUUUACACAUAUUUGAUCCUUUCAUUUAAUUUCAAAUCCUAUCCUUAUAAAAAAAAAAAAAAAAACCCGCGAAUUAUUAUUUGAGAAUUUUUUUUUUAGAAUAAAUUUGUUUAAAUUGUUAAAAAAAUUUUUUCUUUUGCAAAAAGUAAUAUUUGAAUAAUUUUUGUUGAAGUGAAAAGUGAAUAGAUGCAAAAUUGUUACUUUCUACAUUGCGCCAGUUAAUUACUGAAUUUAUUAAGUAUUUUGUAGACUGUGUCGUGUUAAACCGUUGAAUUGGGACUGAAAAUGAUAUUCAUGGUUUCUGACCAUGACAACCCUUUAUAUUGUACAGGGAAAUACAUAUAUGUUUGAAGAUUAAUGUUUCGGGCCAGAGUCGUCCAGUUUUCCUU